UACGUAGGGGGCUAGCGUUGUCCGGAAUCAUUGGGCGUAAAGAGCGUGUAGGCGGCCCGGUAAGUCCGCUGUGAAAGUCGGGGGCUCAACCCUCGAAUGCCGGUGGAUACUGUCGGGCUAGAGUGCGGAAGAGGCGAGUGGAAUUCCUGGUGUAGCGGUGAAAUGCGCAGAUAUCAGGAGGAACACCAGUGGCGAAGGCGGCCCUCUGGGGUGUACCUGACGCUGAGGCGCGAAAGCGUGGGGAGCGAACCGG
rnacentral:rRNA from 1 species